AGGGGCAUUGUGGAUAUGCUGGUGAACGAAAUCUAGUACAAUCUUCUCAGCUUUUGGGCAGCUUUUGGCAUAGAAACCAAGCUUUAGCUGAGCUUGAGUGGAGCCUAUCAGACUUAGAAGACCAACUAUAGUGGCUAACACCAAAAAAGCGUCACUAAAGUUUGCAGCCCCAAACAUAAACAAUGCGUAAAAGUACCAAACGACUUGAUAGGCUUACCUGCUCUGGGAACAAAGCACGUUAUGGGGCUUUUUUCAAUCAAUAAUUGUGUUCUUGCAUGGCAGCCAGACAUCAAAGCCGCCUUACAAAAAUACCAAGGAAAGAAAGAGAGAGACAUAAAUGGUUUCCUUAUUACCGGAAUUGGUUCUAAAUGAUCAUGAGUUUGGCCACUCCUCUUCCAGAGGAAAAGAGACAAUGAACCAGGAAAUAGCAGCCUCAAAGAUUCCUAGUUUUAAAUUUUGAAGCAGCCGAGAAAAAUCAACAGCCGAACCAUGUGCUUUGGGGGGAUGGUAAGAAAAAAAAUUUAAAAAAUAGAAAAGAACUUUUACUAAUAACUUUGUGUAAGAAAUGGAGAAAUGCUUUAUCGGAUUAAGGAAAUGAUGGUCCCAAAAAUAAGACAAAGAAAUGAUAAGGAAGUUGAUUAGAAUAGGUUAGGUUUAGAAAUUAUAUUAUUGGAGUUCUAGAGACCUUAAAGCCUAGCUGAUCAAUUUCUUGCACUGAGAUACAUGAUUUGGUAUAAAUGAAUUAUUUUCCUUCAAA